rnacentral:misc_RNA from 1 species
GUGAAUCUUCAAAGUCGGCUCGUCGGAUUGUGCUGGUGGAGACACAUGUGCACAUCUACGAGUCGCAAAUCCACACACCUGUGCAUCUAUGACUCUGAGUGCCGCUUUACAUGGCCUUUGAUUGGGCCUGGCGCUCGAGUACUUUCACACACUCUUGAAUGUAACGGAAUGUCUUGUUGUGCAUACUGUACAAACCAAAA